rnacentral:lncRNA from 1 species
CUGCCCUGAACUCCUAGUCCAGGCUUUAAAAAAGAGCCAUAAAAAUGCCAUCCCACUGAUGAGCCUCUGGAGCAAGGGAGGUGUGCCUUGACCAUCCUGGAAAAACAUCAUCUCCACCCUACCUAUACUUAUCUCCUUGGCUCGCUUCUGGCCAAAGGUCCACACUUGGUCUGAACCUAUUGCAUGCAGAGCUUUGCCACAGAUGUCCCUGUACUGAGGGGCUCUGGCUGGUUGGGAUGUUCGAAGGGACAGCUGUGGAUGCUGUUUAUUGGCCUGAAAUGUGGAACCAGUGUGGAGAAGGCAAGACAGGCUAGGUUGACGUCAGAUGUAGGCUUUUCAUUUUUAUUUUUUGAGAAAGGGUCUUGCUCUGUCACCCAGGCUUGAAGGAUUGAGUGCAGUGGCGCAUCAUAGUUUACUGCAGCCUUGAACUCCUGGGCUCAAGCGAUCCUCCUGCCUUAGCCUCUCAAGUAGCUGGGACUAUAGGCACGUGCCACCAUGACCAGCUAAUUAGAAAACAUUUUUC